CAAGACAGGUGGUGCAUGGUUGUCGUCAGCUCGUGUCGUGAGAUGUUGGGUUAAGUCCCGCAACGAGCGCAACCCUUAUCUUCAGUAGCCAGCAGGUAAAGCCGGGCACUCUGGAGAGACUGCCGGGGAUAACCCGGAGGAAGGUGGGGAUGACGUCAAAUCAUCAUGCCCCUUAUGAUUUGGGCUACACACGUGCUACAAUGGCGUAAACAGAGGGAAGCGAGCCCGCGAGGGGGAGCAAAUCCCAAAAAUAACGUCCCAGUUCGGAUUGUAGUCUGCAACCCGACUACAUGAAGCUGGAAUCGCUAGUAAUCGCGGAUCAGAAUGCCGCGGUGAAUACGUUCCCGGGUCUUGUACACACCGCCCGUCACACCAUGGGAGUCGGAAAUGCCCGAAGUCUGUGACCUAACCGUAAGGGAGAAGCAGCCGAAGGCAGGUCGGAUGACUGGGGUGAAGUCGUAACAAGGUAGCCGUAUCGGAAGGUGCGGCUGGAUCACCUC
rnacentral:rRNA from 1 species